GCGGAGUAGCUCAAUUGGUAGAGUAGUGGUCUCCAAAACCAUCUGUUGAAGGUUCGAGUCCUUCCAUUUCC
rnacentral:tRNA from 1 species